rnacentral:RNase_P_RNA from 1 species
GUAGGCCGGCUUGUCGCGUGUGUUUAUUCACAGGAGGAAAGUCCGGGCAACAUAGAGCAUCCCACUUCCUAACAGAAAGCUGUCCGUGAGGGUAGAGUAACGUAGAAGAAAAUAACCGCCAUACUUCUUGAAGUAAGGUAAGGGUGAGAAGGUAGAGUAAGAGCCUACCAGCCACAUGGUGACAUGUUGGGCUGUACGUCUUGGGAGUUGUAAGGUCAUGUAUACCGGCGUUAUGAGAGCUGCUCGCUCCAUGUCGAAGGGUAGACCGCUAAAAUGAUGUGGUGACACCUCAUUCAGAUAAAUGACAGGCACUUUAUUUAUAAAGAACAGAACCCGGCUUAUAGGCCAACUGC